GUUGUACAGCAUUCAGCAUCAUUGCAGUAUAGCUGCCCAUUAUAGAAAUAUACCUCAGUUGACUUAUUUUCCUUUCAGAGCAUUUACAAGUGACAAUGCUGGAACUUGGUGUCCCCUCCAGGAUGAGUCUGUGGGAUACUUGCGGGCCUGGUCCUCAUGAUGCAGAAGUCUCCGCUCACGUGGCUAGCUCUGGAUCCUGCUACUGUGCAAGUUACAAGCCUGGAACAGCUUGGACCCCUGGGGCAUGCAUCUGAUUCAUCGGAAUCACUAGGGGAAAUUUAGUGCACGGCAGAAAUCCAGUCAACACCCUUGUUCCCAAUAGUUAACAUACUGUUUGACACCACUGUGGCCAGCAGAAGAAUUAGUCCAUCUCUCUCAGACCACCCACACCACUGAUAGCUAAUAACUAACACAUGGGGAGACCAUGGCUAAUGAUCUCCUUGGGUUCAGUGGUUCCUUGUGUUUUUAUUUCUUUUUUUCCUUCUUUAUUAGCAUUCAUUCAUUCAAUUAACAGUCACUGAGCGCCCAUUGAAUACCAGGUGCUCUGCUGGGCCUUCUGGAGGGACACAAAGACGAGAGAACUAUAGUUACUGCUGUCAAGAAGCACGCAGACUCAGAAUUAACUGUCAUGUUGGUGCUUUCAUUCAUGCACUGCUGUGGUCAAUGCAAUACAUGUUAAGGAGGGUACAUUUUAAAUCAAGCCCUUCUACAUUCUGCCUCCAAAAGGAGUGAAUUAUUCAGUUAGCUUCUCAGAACCAAUCAAUAUUGACAUAUUCAUGCAAGGAGAAGACCCCGGCAACAGAUGUCUUACAUAGAUUUACUUGGGGAUAAAGUGAAAAACUGGAGGCAAUUCUUGAAUGUCUUCUGAAACACCAUGAGAACGCUGGAAAUAUGAAAAAGGACAAUAAGGAAAAACAUGAAUCAUAGACUCCAAAAAAAGCUGAAGGGGAAUACCUCCAAAUGAGAAGCGAUAAUAGGAUUUUCCCCAUCACUCAGUGCAUCUGUCUUUUGACCAGAAGUCUUUGACUUCUAAGAGCUUGCCAAUCCUAGUCCCGCCACAUUAACUUGCCUCCCAAGCAAAGAUUCCAAGAACCACACGUUUUUAAUUAUACAAAGUAAAGGUUGAUGAAUGAUUCAUACAACUAAUCUAAACUUGGGCCAGGUUAAAAUAAUACUGUGUAAUAACUUAUAUUUAUAUAGCUCAUAAGAGCACUUUUCUUCAGAGCUCAAAGUAGUUUGCAGAUACUAUCUCGU
rnacentral:lncRNA from 1 species